rnacentral:rRNA from 1 species
AUUGAACGCUGGCGGCAGGCCUAACACAUGCAAGUCGAGCGGAUGAAGGGAGCUUGCUCCUGGAUUCAGCGGCGGACGGGUGAGUAAUGCCUAGGAAUCUGCCUGGUAGUGGGGGAUAACGUCCGGAAACGGGCGCUAAUACCGCAUACGUCCUGAGGGAGAAAGUGGGGGAUCUUCGGACCUCACGCUAUCAGAUGAGCCUAGGUCGGAUUAGCUAGUUGGUGGGGUAAAGGCCUACCAAGGCGACGAUCCGUAACUGGUCUGAGAGGAAGAUCAGUCACACUGGAAAUGAGAAAAGGUAAAGAAACCUACGGGAGGCAGAAGAGGGGAAUAAUAGACAAUGGGAGAAAGCCUGAUCAAGCCAGGACGCGUGUGUGAAGAAGGUCUUCGGAUUGUAAAGCACGUUAAGUAGGGAGGAAGGGCAGUAAGUUAAUACCUUGCUGUUUUGACGUUACCAAAAGAAUAAGCACCGGCUAACUUAGUG